GCUAGAUCAAGUGCAGAACCAGAAUAUAGAGCUAUGGCCCUAGCAAUUUGUGAGCUUAUUUGGCUAAAAUAGCUUCUCCAAGAAUUGAGGUGUGGGGAGGUUAAACAAAUGAAGCUAGUAUGUGACAAUCAAGUUGUCUUUCAUAUCGCCUCAAAUCCAGUAUUUCAUGAAAGAACAAAACGUAUAGCGGUGGAUUGUCAUUUUAUUAGAGAGAAGAUUGAAUUAGGGUGCAUUACUACUAGUUUUGUUAAUUUGAAUGAUCAGCUAGCAGAUGUCUUUACUAAGUCUCUUAAAAGCUCCUGGAUUA
rnacentral:misc_RNA from 1 species